rnacentral:rRNA from 1 species
UACGUAGGGGGCUAGCGUUGUCCGGAAUCAUUGGGCGUAAAGAGCGCGUAGGCGGCCAGAUAAGUCCGGUGUGAAAGUCACAGGCUCAACCUGUGAAUGCCGCUGGAAAUUGUCUGGCUUGAGGCCGGGAGGGGGUAGCGGAAUUCCCAGUGUAGCGGUGAAAUGCGUAGAUACUGGGAGGAACACCAGUGGCGAAGGCGGCUACCUGGACCGGUACUGACGCUGAUGCGCGAAAGCGUGGGUAGCAAACAGG